rnacentral:tRNA from 1 species
GGAGGGUACAGCUCAGUGGUAAAGUGCAUGCCUAGCAUGCACGAGGUCCUGGGUUCAAUCCCCAGCACCUCCA